UGUACAUUGAACGUGAUCUUUACUUAAUAUCCUUAUGGUUUUUGGCAUAAGAGAAAUGGAUAAUUGUGAGACAUGCAAAUAGUUGCUUUUGGGGAGUAAUGCAAUGCAUGCAUUCGUGUUAAAAGUAACUUCGCCUCCUACUGGACAUCAAGCUACUUAUCUCUUUGUAUUUAUAUUAAUCCUUAUUAUUCAUACGCAUCUUCUUUGUGACGUGUUAAAUUAAACCUUUAAGAAAAACACAGAUAAAAAGAACACUUAAAAACUACAAUUUCCCUUUCAUACAAAUUAUUUCAACGAAGACUUUUAAUUUGUAACACGUCGCUUUGUCGAUGACGCGUCUUCCGUAGAUUCCGGCGCGAUCUCUCUAGCCGUUCUCCUCUCCUCACACACGACGUCUGAUCAUGUUGGGCAAAAUAAUCGGACAGAAAUACUUGUCUAUCGCCAAAUCAUGGGUUCCCACGCUCGCCGUCUGGGGAGGAACUGGAGGAGUCGCUCUCGUUUACUUCACAGACUGGAGGCUCAUCAUGGACUACGUUCCUUACAUCAAUGGAAAGUUCAAGAAGGAAGAUUAGAUGAAGUCGUGCUCCUGAUGGACUGAAGACGGAGAUGUUUGUCCCUGUUUGAGAUGAAGACAUCAAUCCACCGUCUGAAUCCACCAUCACUGCUAAUGAACAAUGUCAUAUUUAUUUUUUGGAGUGUUCAUCCAUUUGUCCCUCAUGAAAAGUCUCACAAUCUUAUAAAGACGUAAAGCCGGGAUGUUUUCUAUGUUUCUAUGAAGAGCUUCUUCAGUUCUUUCCUGUGAAUCCUGGAGGAAUAAAACCAAUGGUUCUGUUAUUGAGAGCUGCUGUUGAAUUCUGUUGUGAUCAUUCGCAGGUUACUGGUGAUGCUUGAUAAUAAAUCAAAGAAAAGAUGAAAA